UGUCCGCUUAGGAGUCGGCCUCCAGGCCUGGCUUUUGGCCUCUUCCUCACCUGUGGGGUCUGAGCCGGGAUCUAGACUCCAAAGGGAAAGGACAGUUUGCUAGAGCCAUUCAAAUCCCUCCAACGCGUGUACUUCACUUUCACGGGAAUUCUGUCCCCAUCCCUCCAAAGAAGAAGACAGAUGUCUGUUUUUUGCUACAGAGCCCGAAACUCAGCUGCUUGCUCAGAAAACAUCAGUUCCCAUCAGUUCUCAAGGUUGAUCCUGGCACUGGACUUUGGGGGCAGGAAGGAGAGGAAAAGGGGAAUAAGAGGAAUCUAGGAAGGAUCAGUACUUCAUUCCUUCAGGUCUCUGCUCCAGGCUGAUGGAAGGGGAACAAGAUGAAGUCUGACUCCAAGCAGCUGAUGACCUCAGGAUGGACUGGGGGUUGAGAGUCCACAGACCCCCAGGUGAUCUGUGAGGGGCUGGGGAUACACAGCAUGGCCAGAGAGACCGGCUGGGAGAAGGUGCUGUUCCUCCCUCUGAAGCCUUGUGGCAGCUGCCAGCUCAGACUUUGGACCAUCACCCUGACCAGACACCAGGUCCCAGCCACUGGGUGUCAGACCCCGGGGAGCUGAGGACAUUGUGAGGGCCUGACCCAGGCUGUGCACCCAUGUUGUCUAAUGACUGAGGUGCCUCCCACUUCCUCAAAUGCAAGUUUCAAGUACAGGAACCCAUUCCAGAUUGGCCCAGACUGUCAAACCUUGUUCCGGCACCAGUUAGAAGAGUACUUCUGGGCCCGGGCCACGCUCUGAAAAAUACUUGCUGAGUCUCCCGAGGGAGUCUGGUUGAGGAGGUUAUGGGUCCUUAUCUGCCCAAGAACAGUAGUUCUAAGAAGUUGUUUCUGUGUGUCUUCUGGGAAGAAUUUGUCCUUCAAUAUAUGUGAUUGCAACAGGUUGAUAAAAGUAAAAUAAAAACAAUAAAAC